GCUGAGACGCGGCCACCCCGGCUGGAAAUCCAAGCUGCCCGCUCUGGAACCGUUAGCACCUGCACGUGUUGCCCCAGACAUCAGAAGACACGGAUUUCAGCUGUUUGCUUUGCUGAGAGGUUGCAGCCGGUCAGAGUGAAGAUCGUGCUGAUGGAGAGGCGAGGACGCCGCCUACUGGAUUCGUAGUUGAAUGCAUGAUCUUCCUCCUGCUGCUCUUUUGUACCAAGACUGAUCAACGUUGUGAAUUAGAGCAAAAGAUCAUACUUUCCAUCGCCUAAAGAUUGGUGACAUCAGACAACGAGGGGAAAUAGCCUCCUUGGGCCUUAGGUUGUACUUCUAACUUCCACUCCAAGUUACGAUGGAAAGUCUGUCUCCGUAAUAGGACCACGCGUGGAAAGUGUGGUAUGCUAUAGCAGAAAACCACUCCCAGGCAAAAUGCAAACCUCAGCGUCCUGCACUUGCGGAAUGCUCCCUUGCUCACCAAGUAGGGGUUGCGCUGAGGCAAUAAAUGAAUGUCUGUGGCUUUUCUGUGUAUAAUUUCCUAACCCAGUGGUCCCUUUGCUUCCAUCAAAUAGCCUUUACCCCGGCUCUGCCUGUCAGUGUGCUGAUGGCCACAGAAGAGAGGCAGGGAGUGCUAGGAGCAGGGCAGGAGCUUCACCCAGGACUUUUGUAAAUUUUUUUUAAAGAUUCCCUUUGCAAAAAAGCCUGUUUGUGCAUUCAGCAGCUGCACUUUUAGCUUAGGAGCUUAAAAAAGACCCAUGUUUCUUUUGUUCUACCUUGCUUUACUCUAUUGUUAUCCGUGUAUAGGUUCAGCACCAAUUUGAAUAAAAGCAGAUUGUCUUCAUUAUA